rnacentral:tRNA from 1 species
GGGAUUGUGGCUCAGUGGUACAGCAUUUGCCCGGCAUGCGUGAGGCCCUGGGUUCAAUCCCCAGCACUGCCA